CCAAGUAGCUCAGAGAGGCAGCUAGCUCAGAAUCAGAGGCCAUUUUAUAUAGGGCUAUGGGGGGAAUUUACACUUGAAACUCACAGGAAGGGGACAAAGGCAAGUGGUCAUCAAUCAUAUACUCAACCGUUGCGUACUAAUGAUCAGCAGAUCGAUUAUCCAUUGUUUUAUAGAUUGCAGUGUUCAGAACAUUCAGUUAUGGGCAAACAAGGAGUGGAGUGAUUUACUUUGGGUCUCUAUGUUUGUUAUAGUUUCUAUCUAGUUUCCCAGCUACUCCCAAGCAGGUACCUAGUAAUUCACAAUUAAUCAUUACUUAUCCUGUAAGGAGUGGGGGAACAAUAGUCUCUGGGUCAUUUGCUGGUCAACAUGGAGUUGCUCUAGUUCAGCAAGGCUCUUACAACAACAUACUACAAGCACCUUGUGCCCUGCAUACUAGACAUGGAGCACAGGAGUUACUGUUUGCCCUGCUUGUGUUUUAGUCUUGCUUUGGUCCAAUCCUUCCUUGGAAUUUCCUAGUCUUCCCUUCUGGAAUAGGAAUGUUUACUCAGUGCCAUUAUAUUUAAGGAAUAUGUAAUUUUUUUUAAAUAGGGACUUAUAGCUAAGUUUACCUCGUGUGUCAGGAAGAAACUUGGGACUUCUGAGCAAUGCUAGAAUUUUUAAGAUGUUGAGGACUCUUCUAGAUGGACUAAAUUCAUUUUGUGUUAUCAGGUGAUCAUCAGCCUUGGGGACAAUGGGUGGACUGUUAUAGUUAGAUCUGUAAUAUCACCCAAAGGCUCAUGUGUAUCUAGUUUAAAUCUCAGCUGGUGACCCUUUUGGGAAGGGAAGGAAACUAGGAGAUGGGGCUAAUUGGAAGAGGAGGGUCCUGAGGGUGUGACUUUGAAGGGAUAUUUGUCCCUGGGCUUUUCUCUUUCUUUUUGCUUCCUGGCCACUUUAGGUAAGACUACACGCUCCCUGCUGCAACCCUCUGCCUUGCUACAGACCAGUGCGGCCAACAGACCACAACUGAAACCAUGAGCCAAAGCAAAUCUUUCAUCCAAUAAGCAUCAGAGCUCUGGCUGGAGCUCUGGCAUGCAGUGGUGAGCAUCUCUGCAAGGCAGCUGCACCUCUUGUCAAGGAAACCUGGAAGUCGGCAGAGGCCUUUCUCUGGGAUGACCAGAUCCCCCAUUUUCCUGCCUGGGAUGCUGCUGUGUAACAAGCCACCACAAAAUCUCCGUGGCAACACCAGCACACAUUGAUUGACAUUCAGCCAGGAUGGGUGGAUCUAGACCAGGGAAGAUGUCCAUCGGCUCAGCUGGCCACACCCCCGCCACCUUUGCUGUUUCUCUCAUUGCUUGGCAGACUCACCCACGGCAUGUUCUUUUUCUACAGCACAAAGGAAGCAGAGCCAAGGGCACAGGCACACUUGGGUAACUCUUCUGAGACUUGUGCUAAUAAAGUUCCUGUGGCAGAACAAGUCCCAUGGCUGGGUCUCAGGGAGGUGGGGGCUGAGGAAGUGGUUAUUUGCUGAGUGGAAUAGAAUCUGAUGAGUCUCCAAGGUCAGUCUGGUACCUCACCCAAACCCUGCCCAAAAGCAGGCACCCCAGUCCCCAGCUUUCUGUUUGAAUUUUCCCUGCCUAGCUCAGAGACAAGAGGCUGCCUAGCUGCAUCAUGCAGGGGUAAGGAUCAGAGGGGACCCUAAUCCCUCCUUGGACUCCUAGGCCACCCAGCCUGCUGAUUUCACCUCCUGCCUCCCACCUGCAGUGUCUGGGUCCCUAAUCCUGAAUCUCCCUGAGGUUCUUGAAGGCCACCCCACUUCCACCACGUCUCAGCAGACACUGAGAUCUGUCCUCCUGGGCUAUGGCAAAUCAUUUGUUCACCCUGCCAUCUGCUCUCACCCUCGCACGCUGUGGUUUGGGGUUACAGGUGUCUCUUGCUUUCUCUGAAGAUGGGUGUUGGGUUUCUGUUUCUUGUUCUCUUGUCUUGUUGCUUCUUGACACGGCCCCCUGAGACCACAGUCUCUUCCUCUCUAUGCGGUGUGACAUGCGGCUUGAGCCUCAUGGUAGAGGUUUGUUUGUGCCUCUGCCUCUCGCCCUGCGCUCUGGGUCCUAUGAGGGACAGGCUGUCCCUCCCCUCCCUGCACCUCCAGCUCCGGCACACCCCAGUGCACAAUACCCAGGGCACAUGUGGCAGAAUUGGGGAUUACGUGGGUCGCUGUCCAUUUGGGCUUCCUUUAGGCCCGCUGCAGGAGUCCCCAGACCUUCCUCUCGAUCCCCAGGGCCCACCUCCUCUGCCCUUAUCUUCUGGAGCCCAGAUGGGGAAGAUGGAGGGCCUGGAGGGAGGGGCAGAGAUCAAAAAGAACCCUUGCCCCGAGCAGUCGCUGUCGGGCACCAGUGGAGAGGAACCAGCUCCCAAAACCUAGUGGUGACGGCAGCAGCACAACGGCUCUCUGUGUCUCUGAGGGGCUGGGCUCCUGGGGGGAGCUCUUCUCUUCCCAUGGUGAUGGAUGAGAAAUCUGGGGACUCCUGGCUGCCGCAUCCAAGAUGGCUCUUACCUGUGGCUGUGCCAUGGUGGGGAAGCUGGAGGCUGGGCACCGUGGGGUCACUGGAGCUGUUGGCAUCCCCAGCCCUCCUCUCUCACCCAUGUACUCAUUUGCACAAACAGUGGCUUCAGGCCUUAGAGCUGGGGUCACACUGUGGAACGCACAGGCCCUGCUUCCCUGGGCUUGCUGCUUAGCGGAAGUGCUUCGUUAACACUUCAUUACUAACAGCAAUAAACAGGGCUGGGGCAGAGUGGCUGUGGAGGUGCCUGGGGCCAGCAGGUAUCUUAGGAGGAGGGCGUGGCUGGAGCCAAGGCCCUGGGGUGGUUGAGGACAGGCUUGAUGAAGCGGCCCUGGGGUCUGGGGAUCUUGGAGGAGGGGUUGUAGGUCUGAUGGGCAAAGGCUGGGCUUCCCUGCUCAAUGCCCUGUGGUGCCGCUAGAGGGCUCAGACACAGGAGCUGUUUGAUCUGGUUUGGGUUCUGAUGUGAUCGCUCUGGAAGCUCUCUGGGGAGAAACUGAGUCCAAGAGCAAACUGGAAGUGAAGAGGCCAAGCAGGAUGCAUGAGUGGUCAGAAUGACACUCAACAAACCUUCCUCCGUCCUGCCAGGCUCUGGAGGAGUUCUGGUCCCUGCCCCACAGUGGUGGCCUUGGCCACAUGCAGGGUAAGCAGAGGCUUCCGGUGUGCUUGGGGUAGAGCUCGGCCACAGCGCUUCUGUGAUCCACCAGGAGCACAGCAAGUCCCAGCCAGCACUGGUCAGAGGCUGAGACCCAGGGAGCACAGCCUCACCGGCCUGCAGCAGGAGCAGGUCCCCCAUCCCAGCCUGAGGCAGGUCAGCCAGCUCACCCUGGACGGUGAGAACAAAAGCUUGCUGCUCUGGCCUCUGGAUUGGGGGUGUUUUGUUACACAGCAGUAUUUUAGCAGUACUUCGUCCGUCCAUAGCUGACUACAACGGUAGCCCCUGAGCCAUCCAGGAAGGGAGCGAGGCAAAAGCAAAGGGGCCAUUUCCCUGCUCUCUGCAGAUGUGGGAGUCCCACUGGCUGUUUUUGAAGAGGACAAUCACACUGUUUAGUAUGUGAGACAGAGUCAAGGCAGAGAGGGGAGAUAGGGAGGCCAGAGAGGAGGCUGUCACUGCUGCCAGGGGACAGGUGGCAAGGCCAGGAGCCAGAGUACAGAUGGGUUUGGUCAACACUGGGAAGCCAAACAGUCCAGGCUUGACCAGUGAAUAUCAGGGCAAGAGAAUAGGAGACUGGGGAACCCCAUCAUCCCUGCUUUGGAGAAGGAAUAAGGGGCAGCCAGGCUCCAAGACAGAGUCUUGAAAGAAGUGGUCUUUUUUUUCCUUUCCUUU